UACGUAGGGUGCAAGCGUUGUCCGGAAUUAUUGGGCGUAAAGAGCUCGUAGGCGGUUUUGUUGCGUCGGCUGUGAAAAUCCCCGAGGCUCAACCUCGGGGUCUGCAGUCGAUACGAGCAAAACUAGAGUGUUGCAGGGGGAGACUGGAAUUCCUGGUGUAGCGGUGAAAAUGCGCAGAUAUCAGGGAGGGAAACACCCGGGUUGGGCGAAAGGGCGGGGGUCUCUGGGGCAA
rnacentral:rRNA from 1 species